rnacentral:rRNA from 1 species
GGCAGCAGUAGGGAAUCUUCUACAAUGGACGCAAGUCUGACGGAGCAAUGCCGCGUGAGUGAAGAAGGUUUUCGGAUCGUAAAGCUCUGUUGUUGGUGAAGAAAGAUAGUGAGAGUAACUGCUCAUUAUUUGCCGGUAAUCAACCAGAAAGUCACGGCUAACUACGUGCCAGCAGCCGCGGUAAUACGUAGGUGCCAGCAGCCGCGGUAAUACGUAGGUGCCAGCAGCCGCGGUAAUACGUAGGUGCCAGCAGCCGCGGUAAUAC